CCUACGGGAGGCUGCAGUGAGGAAUAUUGGUCAAUGGACGAGAGUCUGAACCAGCCAAGUAGCGUGAAGGAUGACUGUCCUAUGGGUUGUAAACUUCUUUUAUCAAGGAAUAAAACGAGGCACGUGUGCCUUUUUGCAUGUACUUUAUGAAUAAGGAUCGGCUAACUCCGUGCCAGCAGCCGCGGUAAUACGGAGGAUCCGAGCGUUAUCCGGAUUUAUUGGGUUUAAAGGGAGCGUAGAUGGGUUGUUAAGUCAGUUGUGAAAGUGUGCGGCUCAACCGUAAAAUUGCAAUUGAUACUGGCAGUCUUGAGUACAGUAGAGGUAGGCGGAAUUCGUGGUGUAGCGGUGAAAUGCGUAGAUAUCACGAAGAACCCCGAUUGCGAAGGCAGCUUACUAAACUGUGACUGACACUGAGGCUCGAAAGUGUGGGUAUCGAACAGGAUUAGAUACCCCUGUAGUC
rnacentral:rRNA from 1 species